AUGUUACAGGAAGUGAGCCAGGGAACGCUUUACCCCCAGGCUCUAGGAACCAUCAAGGUCAGGCUAGAAAAGGGCAUCGGCAAGAAGGGGUGUCUGGAGGUGUUAGGGCUGAGCUCUCUGUACAGAGAGAAUUCCGCUGUGUGGAGCAGCUGCACUCACUUACGGGUGGCUGGGUAUGAGGGCUACGGCCUGUCCUCAAGGGUCCCACCUCUUCCCCAACUUCCUGGCAUCCUAGUCAAGAUUCAGGGGGUGGGACUUCCCCUGGAAACCUGGAAAGCAGGGAGCACCGACUGCCCAUGGACGCCAGGAAGGAGGGAGCGUUGCCGCCCGUGGACCCUGAGAAGGAGGGAGCGUUGCUGCCCGUGGACGCUGGGAAGGAGGGAGCAUUGCCGCCCGUGGUCCCUGGCUGCGUGCCCUCCCCUUAGCUCCUCCACCCAAGAGGGAAGUCGAAGCUGUUUUUCCAAAGCUCUUUCUCCCCCACCUCCCCCAGCUUCCCUCUAAGAGUUCCUGCUGGUGUCCUCCACCCCCAGUCCACCAUCCAGGAGCCAAGAAUUCGUGGCAGACCCCGAGCACAGCUCGCCAAAUCAUUCGCUCAUUGUUAGACAUCUGGGGUUUUCAACUAUUUGUUUUCAUAAAAGACACUCUAAAUGCCCCUGGGCAGUGGCUCCUCUGGAGCUCCAGUCCGAGAACCUCGGGUGUGAAAUUCUGUUCUCAGCUCCGCCCCUGCCCAGGCUGCUCUACCAUCCCACGAGAGGCUGCAGUUGGAAGCCCCUUGACACCCCAGCCUCCGUGGGUGUGAGCAUCCCCAGCACCCAGACCUCGGCUUCUCGGUACCGUGUUCCAUUCAAAGUGGCCAGGACUCCUGGGAGAAAUGGCCAGCUCCAGUCUGGGAAGGGAAAACGCCAGAGGCUUAUAGGAGAUCGCGACCCUCCGGGGCUACGAGGCCGUGCGGGAGCACUCAGGAGCCUGCUCGAUGGGGGGUGUGGGGGGUGGGAGCCAAGGGUGCCAGGAGAUGGCCUGGGGCACAAGUAGCCCUACAGCUCAGGCUCUCAGACAAGCAGCUGGAAGCCUGGCGGCGCAUGGACGUUCCCACGGCUUUAAAGGACGCCCCACAGAACAUGGAUUAAUCAUCAUAGAGAGAGAGGACAACGUUGCAGGGGAGCCUGCAGACGCAGCAUCAAUAAAACCGCAGGCAUUCAUGUCACCAGAGACGGCCCAGGUGAGAUUCUACACCCCCCGCCAGGACACCCACAGAGCGCAGCCUCACCCCCUGCUGUCCCUGCCCACCCAGGAUCUCAUCACCAGGAAUCGAGAGGCAGACCCAGCCGAGGGUAUCCUGCAAAGCAACCUGAGUGCCCACAGCGUGGAGGGGCCAGGAGCCGGAACAGGGUGACACAGAUGGAGGAGAGAGGGCAGCUUGGGGCAGGGCGUGAUGCCCGCAGAUUCCCCUCUCAGAACCUCGUGGGGACAAUGGCCAGGCUGCAGUGCAGCCUCGCAUGGACCUGUCCAUUCCCCGAUUCUGACGGUGCUGAGGGCUUGCGAAUGUCCCUGUGUGCAGGAAACACAACCCAAAGAGCUGGCUGUGCAGCCCCCCACGGGCCUCUCCCAACCUGAGCGGCGCCCUCCUGGCCACUGUCCACUGCUGCCCGAGACCCUGCCCCAGCAGAAGGCACAGGCUGGGGCGGGCCUGCAAGAGUGAACCAGGUUGGCGAGGAGGGGCCUCCCAGGGCCGACGCAUCUGAGCAGCACCCUGCAGGAGGGGCAGGCCCCUCAUGCCCCAGGCACCGUCACAGGGCCUGCGAUCUCAUGCAUUCGAAUGGUACUGCAUGGGCCAGGGUGUCCCAGGGGAUCCUGUCGGGUGCCCUCCUCAGCUCUUCCACCUUCCACAGUAAGUACUUCGACAGUAUGGCUCAUGGUCACCCCAAGUCCCCGAGAAGGAAAGAGAGCGAUGCCAUGGAGAUGGGAGGCCAGCCCUGCAAAGGGCACCAUAGUCCUGGGCACCACCUCUCUUGGGGAAUGGGGGCUUGGGCACCUUCUUCUCCUCCUUCCUCCCUCCCUCCUCCCUCUCUCCCUCCUCCCUCUGACUUGCAC
rnacentral:lncRNA from 1 species